GACAGAGGGUGCAAACGUUGUUCGGAAUUACUGGGCGUAAAGCGUGUGUAGGCUGCCCCGCAAGUCGGGUGUGAAAGCCCCGGGCUCAACCUGGGAAGUGCACUCGAAACUGCGGGGCUGGAGUCCUGGAGAGGAAGGCGGAAUUCUCGGUGUAGAGGUGAAAUUCGUAGAUAUCGAGAGGAACACCGGUGGCGAAGGCGGCCUUCUGGACAGUGACUGACGCUGAGACGACG
rnacentral:rRNA from 1 species